GGUAAGGUAACGGCUUACCAUGGCUACGAUAGGUAGGGGGCCUGAGAGGGUGAUCCCCCACACUGGUACUGAGACACGGACCAGACUCCUACGGGAGGCAGCAGUGAGGNAUAUUGGUCAAUGGAGGCAACUCUGAACCAGCCAUGCCGCGUGCAGGAAGAAUGCCCUAUGGGUUGUAAAUUGCUUUUAUUUGGGAAUAAACCUUGGUAUGUGUACCAAGCUGAAUGUCACGCAAACGAAUAAGCA
rnacentral:rRNA from 1 species